rnacentral:hammerhead_ribozyme from 1 species
GCACUGAUGAAGAGUCCCAUACUAGGACGAAACAACUGUCCAGUAC